rnacentral:RNase_P_RNA from 1 species
CGGAGCGGCGGCGGCAAACGCUCCCGCGCCUGACGCGGGAGAGGAAAGUCCGGACUCCACAGGGCGGUGCGCCUCCUAACGGGAGGGAGGGGCGACCCUACGGAAAGUGCAACAGAGAGCAGACCGCCGAUGGCCCGCGUGGCUCAGGCAAGGGUGAAACGGUGGGGCAAGAGCCCACCAGGUCCGGUGGCGACACCGGAUGCUUGGCAAACCCCGCACGGAGCAAGGCCGAAUAGGAAGGCGUUUGAGGCCGGCCCGGCCGAUGCCUUCGGGUAGGCCGCACGAGCGCCGGGGAAACCUGGCGCCCAGAGGAAUGUUUGCCCCGCCUCUCCACGGAGAGGCGGAACAGAAUCCGGCUUACAAGCCGCUCCGGAAU